CGCCUUGCCAGCCCGCUCAGAAACUUAAAGGAAGUUGACGGGGGCCCGCACAAGCGGAGGAACAUGUGGUUUAAUUCGAUGAUACGCGAGGAACCUUACCUGGGCUAGAACGCAAUCGGAAUCAGGCCGAAAGGUCUGCGCCAGCGAUGGCCGCUUGCGAGGUGCUGCAUGGUUGUCGUCAGCUCGUGCCGUGAGGGUGUCGGGUUAAGUCCCCAUAACGAGCGCAACCCCUACUGCUAGUUGCCAGCGGGUCAUGCCGGGGACUCUAGCGGAACUGCCAGCGUAAGCUGCGAGGAAGGUGGGGAUGACGUCAAAUCAGCACGGCCCUUACGUCCAGGGCUACACACGUGUUACAAUGGCCAGUACAGAGGGCAGCCACCCCGCGAGGGGGCGCUAAUCCUAAAAGCUGGUCCCAGUUCGGAUCGGAGUCUGCAACCCGACUCCGUGAAGCUGGAUUCGCUAGUAAUCGCGCAUCAGCCACGGCGCGGUGAAUACGUUCCCGGGCCUU
rnacentral:rRNA from 1 species